CGAACGCUGGCGGCAGGCUUAACACAUGCAAGUCGAGCGAGAUCUUCGGAUCUAGCGGCGGACGGGUGAGUAACGCGUGGGAACGUGCCCUUUGCUACGGAAUAGUCCCGGGAAACUGGGUUUAAUACCGUAUACGCCCUUCGGGGGAAAGAUUUAUCGGCAAAGGAUCGGCCCGCGUUGGAUUAGGUAGUUGGUGGGGUAAUGGCCUACCAAGCCGACGAUCCAUAGCUGGUUUGAGAGGAUGAUCAGCCACACUGGGACUGAGACACGGCCCAGACUCCUACGGGAGGCAGCAGUGGGGAAUCUUAGACAAUGGGGGCAACCCUGAUCUAGCCAUGCCGCGUGAGUGAUGAAGGCC
rnacentral:rRNA from 1 species